rnacentral:misc_RNA from 1 species
GCGGAUUCAGCGGCGACGUUGAUCAAACCUGGCGCGGUAAGCGCGGCGCCGGCGGCCGAGGAGCUAGUCCCGGUCGCGGCGGGUAAAGCGGUGGCAGGCGUGGCAUCGUAAGAGUCUUGCCGCGGCGCGGGGGAAAUGGGCGCGAGCGGCGUAGCAUUUUGUAAGGCGGAUGGCGAUGACAGUUUCAAUGGAAAACGGCAUUCCACAAAAAUACGGCCUCUACGAUCCGGCCUACGAGAAGGAUAGCUGCGGCGUCGGCUUCAUUGC